rnacentral:rRNA from 1 species
UACGUAGGGUGCAAGCGUUAUCCGGAAUUAUUGGGCGUAAAGAGCUCGUAGGCGGUUUGUCGCGUCUGCUGUGAAAACUGGAGGCUCAACCUCCAGCCUGCAGUGGGUACGGGCAGACUAGAGUGCGGUAGGGGAGAUUGGAAUUCCUGGUGUAGCGGUGGAAUGCGCAGAUAUCAGGAGGAACACCGAUGGCGAAGGCAGAUCUCUGGGCCGUAACUGACGCUGAGGAGCGGAAAGCAUGGGGAGCGAACAGG